rfam:Felis catus isolate Cinnamon breed Abyssinian chromosome A3, whole genome shotgun sequence.
GCCUGGGUGGCUCAGUGGGUUGAGCAUCUGACUUUGGCUCAGGUCAUGAUCUCACAAUUUGUGAGUUUGUGCCCCACAUCAGGCU